GGUUGAAUAGUGUAGUUGGUUAUCACAUCGGAUUUUGACUAGCGGCUUCGGCCCGUCGAAACUUCCGGGAACUUGGGUUCGAAUCCCAGUUCGACCU
rnacentral:tRNA from 1 species